rnacentral:lncRNA from 1 species
CUAGGAGGAAAAUUUCUAGCAGUUAUAUAUCCUGUAACUCCUAUCAAAAUUUAUUUGUGGUUUUUCAUUAUCUUAGUCCUAAUUCCAAAUGUCAUUGCAUCUGCCAUUAUUUUGUCAGGUAAGUUACUUUUCCUCCAAACUAUGCAAUAUUUUGUACACCUUUAUAUUGCCAAUAAAUAUUUAUUUAAUUUUGAGCUCUGUUAUGUGUCAGGCACUGUGUAAAGUGCUUGAGAUAUAUUAGUAAAUAGAACACACACCCAAAACAACAAUUCCUGCUGUCUUCAAAGUUAAUUUCUAGCAGGUGAAUAAAGUAAGACUAAAUAAAGGUAACAGUGGAACAGGUUGUAAUAUGUGUAGGGUAGCAAUGUGAUAUUCUUUGGGAAGGUAUUUAGCAACAUUUUGAAGGGGAUGGAAAAGUCAUAGUUCCCUGGGGAACUGUUCCAGACAGAAAAAGUAAAGUAAAGCCAUAAGACUUUUGGUGUUUGCUAUAGAUAAAGCAGAGUAAGAAUAGAGAAGAGUAAUGUAAUAGGGGAAAUACAGCAUCCCCCCAUUACCUGUGGUUUCAGUUACACAAGGUCAACUGUUUUCCAAAAAUAUUAAAUGGAAAAUUUUAGAAAUUAACAACUUAUAAGUUUUAAAUUACACACUGCUCUGAAUAGUGUAACAAAAUCUUGUCCCAUUUUUUUGUCAUCCUGCCCAAAAUUUGAAUCAUCCCUUUGUCUAAUGCAUCCACAACCUGCCUAUUCAUCUGAUAAUGGAGCUGCCUCUAUUAUCAGAUUGACGGUCACGGUAUCUGUGUUCUAAUAAUUUUUAUUUUACUUAACAGUACCCCAAAGCACAAAAGUAGUAUGUUGGCAAUUUGGAUAUACCAAAGAGAAGCCAUAAAGUCUGCCUUUCAAGUAAAAAGGUCAAACUUUCUCAAUGGUUUGCAUGUAUGUAUAGGAAAAAGAAACAUAGUAUAUAUAGGGUUUGGUAUUAUCCAUAGCAUCCACUGGGGGAUAUUUUCCAUGGAUAGCAGGAAUCUUGUAAGCUAUUUAAAAACUGCCUUUCACUCUGAAUGCAAUAGAAAGAGAGAGGUGGCAGCAUUGAACUUUAAUGGCUGAAUUACUGAUUUCCAUACUGAGAAUAAACUUUUAGGAGACCAGGAUAAAAGCAGGAAGACUUUUCAGGAAAAUCUUGUAGAAAUCAACUAGAAAUGAUGAUGGCUUAAGCCUGAUGAAAACAGUGUGGAGUUGUGGGCAAGGUGGAUAUUUUGGAAGUUAAGCC